GACGAACGUUGGCGGCGUGCUUAACACAUGCAAGUCGAACGGAAAGGCCCUGCUUUUGUGGGGUGCUCGAGUGGCGAACGGGUGAGUAACACGUGAGUAACCUGCCCUUGACUUUGGGAUAACUUCAGGAAACUGGGGCUAAUACCGGAUAGGAGCUCCUGCCGCAUGGUGGGGGUUGGAAAGUUUCGGCGGUUGGGGAUGGACUCGCGGCUUAUCAGCUUGUUGGUGGGGUAGUGGCUUACCAAGGCUUUGACGGGUAGCCGGCCUGAGAGGGUGACCGGCCACAUUGGGACUGAGAUACGGCCCAGACUCCUACGGGAGGCAGCAGUGGGGAAUAUUGCACAAUGGGCGGAAGCCUGAUGCAGCAACGCCGCGUGCGGGAUGACGGCCUUCGGGUUGUAAACCGCUUUCGCCUGUGACGAAGCGUGAGUGACGGUAAUGGGUAAAGAAGCACCGGCUAACUACGUG
rnacentral:rRNA from 1 species